rnacentral:rRNA from 1 species
GUCCACGCCUAACGAUGUCAACUAGGUGUUGGAGGGUAAACCUUUAGUACCGGAGCUAACGCGUGAAGUUGACCGCCUGGGGAGUACGGCCGCAAGGUUAAACUCAAGGAAUUGACGGGGACCCGCACAAGCGGUGGAUGAUGUGGAUUAAUUCGAUGCAACGCGAAACCUUACCUACCCUUGACAUGUCCGGAAGCCCUUAGAGAUUUGGGUGUGCUCGAAAGAGAGCCGGAACACAGGUGCUGCAUGGCUGUCGU